rnacentral:rRNA from 1 species
GAUGAACGCUGGCGGCGUGCCUAAUACAUGCAAGUCGAGCGAACAGACGAGGAGCUUGCUCCUCUGACGUUAGCGGCGGACGGGUGAGUAACACGUGGAUAACCUACCUAUCAGACUGGGAUAACUUCGGGAAACCGGAGCUAAUACCGGAUAAUAUAUUGAACCGCAUGGUUCAAUAGUGAAAGACGGUUUUGCUGUCACUUAUAGAUGGAUCUGCGCCGCAUUAGCUAGUUGGUAAGGUAACGGCUUACCAAGGCAACGAUGCGUAGCCGAGCUGAGAGGGUGAUCGGCCACACUGGAACUGAGACACGGUCCAGACUCCUACGAGAGGCAGCAGUAGGGAAUCUUCCGCAAUGGGCGAAAGCCUGACGGAGCAACGCCGCGUGAGUGAUGAAGGUCUUCGGAUCGUAAAACUCUGUUAUUAGGGAAGAACAAAUGUGUAAGUAACUAUGCACGUCUUGACGGUACCUAAUCAGAAAGCCACGGCUAACUACGUG